rnacentral:lncRNA from 10 species
UUUCAGCUUCCACCAUGGGAUGAUACAGCAUGAAGGCCCUCACCAGAUAUGCACCCCUUGAUUUUGGACUUCCCAGACUCCAGAACUAUCUCUGUGGUUACUCUGUGAAUUGGUCUGUACAGGCCCACUUGAGUACAGAUGAGCCAUUUCAGCUAAGCCUACAAGACACUUCCAGCUAAACCUAGCCCAAAUUGCCAACUUGCAGAAUUGUAAGCUAAAUAAAUGACUGUAAGCCGUUAAGUUCUGAGGUGUUUUUUAUGCAGGAAAAAGUAACUAUUACAACGUUGAAGCUAAAUCGA